CCGCACAAGCGGUGGAGCAUGUGGUUUAAUUCGAUGCAACGCGAAGAACCUUACCUACCCUUGACAUCCAGGGAAAAGCUUGUAAUGAGCUUAAUGCCUUCGGGAACCCUGUGACAGGUGCUGCAUGGCUGUCGUCAGCUCGUGUUGUGAAAUGUUGGGUUAAGUCCCGUAACGAGCGCAACCCUUAUCCUUAUUUGCCAGCACUUCGGGUGGGAACUCUAAGGAGACUGCCGGUGACAAACCGGAGGAAGGAGAGGAUGAUGUCAAGUCAUCAUGGCCCUUACGGCCUGGGCUACACACGUGCUACAAUGGGCAGUACAGAGGGCCGCAAACCCGCGAGGGGGAGCAAAUCCCAAAAAACUGUUCGUAGUCCGGAUCGGAGUCUGCAACUCGACUCCGUGAAGUCGGAAUCGCUAGUAAUCGCGAAUCAGCAUGUCGCGGUGAAUACGUUCCCGGGCCUUGUACACACCGCCCGUCAC
rnacentral:rRNA from 1 species